rnacentral:rRNA from 1 species
UACAGAGGGUGCGAACGUUGCUCGGAAUUAUUGGGCGUAAAGCGCGUGUAGGCGGCUUGUUAAGUUGGUUGUGAAAACCCAUGGCUCAACCAUGGAAGGGCGUCCAAAACUGGCAAGCUAGAGUCCUGACGAGGAUGGCGGAAUUCCCAGUGUAGAGGUGAAAUUCGUAGAUAUUGGGAGGAACACCGGUGGCGAAGGCGGCCAUCUGGGAAGGCACUGACGCUGAGACGCGAAAGCGUGGGGAGCAAACAGG